rnacentral:rRNA from 1 species
GUGGGGAAUUUUGGACAAUGGGCGCAAGCCUGAUCCAGCAAUGCCGCGUGCAGGAAGAAGGCCUUCGGGUUGUAAACUGCUUUUGUACGGAACGAAACGGUCCGGGUUAAUACCCUGGGCUAAUGACAGUACCGUAAGAAUAAGCACCGGCUAACUACGUGCCAGCAGCCGCGGUAAUACGUAGGGUGCAAGCGUUAAUCGGAAUUACUGGGCGUAAAGCGUGCGCAGGCGGUUUUGUAAGACAGGCGUGAAAUCCCCGGGCUCAACCUGGGAAUUGCGCUUGUGACUGCAAGGCUGGAGUGCGGCAGAGGGGGAUGGAAUUCCGCGUGUAGCAGUGAAAUGCGUAGAUAUGCGGAGGAACACCGAUGGCGAAGGCAAUCCCCUGGGCCUGCACUGACGCUCAUGCACGAAAGCGUGGGGAGCAAACAGGAUUAGAUACCCUAGUAGUCC